GCCAGCAUAAUGUAGUGGUCUGAGUGUUGGAGUAUAACUCUAGAGAGCAGGGUUCGAAUCCCUGUUCAGCCA